UACGGGGGGGGGCAAGCGUUGUUCGGAAUUACUGGGCGUAAAGAGUGUGUAGGCGGCGCUCUAAGUUCGGUGUGAAAUCUCUCGCUUAACUGGGAGGGUGCGCCGGAAACUGGAGUGCUCGAACGUGGGAGAGGAAAGCGGAAUUCCUGGUGUAGCGGUGAAAUGCAUAGAUAUGCCAUAGAACACCAAUUGCGAAGGCAGCUGGCUAGACCUGGAUUGACGCUGAGGCACGAAAGCGUGGGGAGCGAACAGGA
rnacentral:rRNA from 1 species